CGGAGCAGCACAUUCCUAACAUCUAUGGAUUGCCUCAUAUAUGUCACCACAUCUUCCCACCAGGCUUGCUUUCCCUACACUCCAAGAUGGUAACUUCCCAAUCUGUCCAAAUUUUAUUUGGAAUCCUCCUGGACUGUGUAAAUGUCAAGUCUCCAUUGUGUCGCCAUAAACACAUCUGAUAAAAUGGAGAUAAACCUUUAAAACAGCUGCUUCUCAUGGUUUCUUCUGGUGAGAUACAAACACAAUUCAUCUAAAUUCUAAGAUGGCAAAUUAUUCCCUCAAAGAUCUGGAAGUUUUUAAGGCAAGAUGAUCUUCAAAAUAAUUAUUGAGUUCGAACAGGGCAGAGCAAGAAGGGCACUUCUGACAUCAGAGGCUCCAGCUGAAAGGUUCCAAAUCUAGGAGCUGGAGUCCAUCACUCACAGGAAGAGAAGAUUAGGACACAGAGACACCAGAGAGGUCAUUCACAAAGGAAAGACCAUGUGAAGAUGCAGUGAGAAGGUGGCCAUAUGCAAGAUGAGGAGAGAGGCCUCAGAAGAAACCAAUACUGCCAACGCCUUGGUCUUGGACUUCCAGCCUUUAGAACUGUCCUGGAUCAGAAGAUGCCUGACAAGAGGCCACUACCAGCAGCAACAGCACGGUGGGGACAAACCUGAGAUCUUGAUGGACCAUGGACACCAGCAGGAGAGAGAGAGGAACUUGAAGUCUAAAUGGGCAGACAAGACCAACACACACAAAGCAGAGAGCGGCACAAGAGCCGUGUCUGAUGCAACAGUGACUCAGGAGGAUCACUCUGACUCAGAAUGGCCAAGCAAAGGUAACUUUAGCUCUUUUGAAAAAUCGGAUUCCAGCAUCAAAGGACAAAAUUUACUGCAAAUGAGGGCUACACACACAAGUUGCAAAAGUGAAUAUUUCCUGAAAGCUUCUAUUUUGAUUGGAAUGACACUCAGUGGUGAUUGCUUUAUGCAACGGUCUCUAUUUUGCAAUCAAGUCUUAUAAAACAAGAUUAUCUGCUAAAGACUGAACAAGAGUCAGCCUUCUGAAGAAGGCUAGAUGCACAUGUGAAUGACUUUGUCAUAGCACAGAAUGCGUCUGGAUCAUACUUCUGGAAAUUCCUCUGGAGCGACUGUGUAAAUGAAGCUAUCAGGAAAUCUCAUUGCUUUGUAAUCAUG